CAGUACCCUUGGUUAACCACUGGAGGACUGUCCCUUGUUCACGUGAAGGCAUUGGGCGGUGUCUGCCUUCUCUUGAAAGUAGCUGUCCAGUCCUGCUUUACGUCGCACGUACUACUAUGACGGGGACGGUCGUAUGUGCUGUUAUUUAUUUGCGACACACCCCUAACGCGAUGGUGGUCUACAAAAUGAAAAAAACGAACAUGCUAUUGAUUCUACUGACGUUACUCAGUACUCCCAACUGCAUGGGUUACUCUACGGGCUGGAAUGAAGACAGGAAGGUUGUGUGCUCAGGGAAAGAUUUCCAAGUACCUGUCUUCUCAAGGUCGAGGAUUGUGACAUUCACUCCCAGCUCACCCCCUGGAUCUAAGAAAGUACUGCUGGAGAAUAAUAUUGUAAAGGAUCCAAGGUAUGAAUGGACCCGUGACCAGACUCUACUGGUGAGGGAGGUCACCCACCGGGACCAGGGAGUCUAUGCUGUCAAAUUUUCCCAUGGUUUUACCGUCGAGAGAGUCGAGCUCGUUGUCUCAGAAUGCAUUAGGAAGUUCCAUAAACAAUAUGGAGACACCUUUAAACUGGACAUCCCACAGGAUGGAGCCAUUCUGGAGUUAAACCCCUUCGCCCCCCUAUCUCUCCCUCCCACAUCUUCUCCUUCCCCCUCUCCCUCUCCUUCCUCUCUGUCCCCCCCUCUAUCCCCCUCUCCCUCUCCUUCUUCCUCUCUAUCCCCCUCUCCCUCUCCUUUUCCCUCUCUGCCCACCUCAAUCUCCUCCACCCCCUCUCCCCCUCCUUCUUCCUCUCUGUCCCCCCCUCUCUCUUUCUCCCCCUCCCCCUCUCACUCCUCCUCACCUUCUCCUCCUGUUUCUCAUCCUCCCACCCUGCCGCUAAUUCUCUGGACCGACGGCAGCCCCAGUGAGAGUAAAGGGGGCAGAGGGAGGGCGGAGGGCAGAUCCUGGGUGGUGGACAGGGUGACACUGGUGGACCAGGGCGACUACACCAUCAAAGACAGCCAUGGCGAGGUGGUGGCCAGAGCCAGCCUGACGGUGACAGCCCGCUGGUCCAAUCUCACUCUUUACAACAAGGAGUCUCUCUUCAUCCCUCUGCACGUGCCCCUCCCUCAGGCCCAGCUGCGUCUCACAGCGGUCCUCUCCUCUCACUCUCACUCCCACCCUUCCUCGUCUUCCUCUUCCCCUCCCUCCUACGUCACAUCCCGCUCUCCAACCAUCCUCUUGCGGGACGGGCAGAUUGUGGAGGAGAGGCCGUGGCACCGCAGGCGACUCUCGCUUGAGCGGAACAGCACGGGCAUUUACUUUGUUGUGGCAACUCUCAGUGCAAAGGAUGAUGGGAUAUAUGAAGUCCAUGAUGAACAAGGGAACCUUGUGUCUACAGACAUUGUGAGGGUUGUGGAUAAGCACGUGAGAUGGAGGGCUGUGAUUAAGUCCAUCACGGUCCCCUCGGGCAUGUUUGCGUCUCUGGCUGGUUUUAUCCUCUUCGUGAAGAGGUAUCCCAGCUGCAGUGUCUCAAAGAUACUCAGUGGCCUGAGAGAUCGCCGCAAUGCCACCACUGCCGGCGUCCCACCCAGAGUACACAUUGAGGACUACAGUGAGCCCGACCUCACCAAUUACACCAGUUCUCCAUAUAAGAUCAGAUCGUCCAAACAGUGGAGUUCCAGUCCCGCACACAGUGGUUACUCUCCUGUUGCUCCGAGGGCACAUAGAGACUCCCCUGAGCCUGUCAGAGCAAACGUGCUAGGAACAGGUCCCACUCAGGGCCUACUCAGUGAGCCGUCAGGAAGCGCGAGGAAGACGUCCUUCUCCCUGGCUGGGGCUUCUGACUGCCUCCACUCCUCCGAGCACUGUGCUCAGUUUGAGAUCGCCACGGGCAACAGGAAAGAUGGCUCAAAGAAGAACUUCUUCUCGACACUGCCACUCGACACCGACACGUCUGACAUCUGCAGCGUGUACACGUCAGACAAGCUCAACUUCCUCUAGGGAUGGAGCUACAAAAGGGAUGGGUGGAAGGAGAGAGAGAGAGAGAGAGAGAGAGAGAGAGAGAGAGAGAGAGAGAGAGAGAGAGAGGUGUUUGAAUCUGAGAAGGAAAGAAAAGAUUAGUGUGAGGGAAAGAAUGAAACAGACGGUGGAGAGAUCACCAUGGUGCCUUCAGUCUCUAAAAUUGUAAACCGGUAGCUGAGAAACAGGCAGGACAGAUGCAUAGUGUGUGUGUGUGUGUGUGUGUGUGUGUGUGUGUGUGUGUGUGUGUGUGUGUGUGUGUGUGUGUGUGUGUGUGUGUGUGUGUGCAUGUGUGUGUGUGUGUGUGGAGCGGAGUAGCAGGCAGGACAGAUGCAUAGUGCUGAGUAGCAGGCAGGACAGAUGCAUAGUGUGUGUCUGAGUAGCAGGCAGGACAGAUGCAUAGUGUGGCAGAGGACAUGCAGAGCUCCAGACUGUUCCAGACAUGACCAAAAGAUAUGGCAGCUGAAUGGUCAGAGUAGAACAAGAGUUGAAUAGUGAGGGCCAAAAUGACUACGGUGGAUACAUUAUGAAUUCAUCUGUUUUUUUGGGGGGGGGAUUGCUGGAACACCAGGAUCACAUAGACGUCCUCUUUAGACUGAUCCAAGAUGGCUAUCCAAGAUGAAAGUGUUCUGCCACCAGUAGCAGGUUUGAUCUCACUCAUUAGAUUAUGUCUGUUUCUGGACACAUCAUUCAACUGGCGUGCUCCCUCCGCACCAGUGAAAAGACUCAUCCCUCGUGAUCUGAAGGACUAUUUGUUUUCCAGGAAAAAAAACUCUUAGGACUGUAGCGUUUUGUGUCCAUAAUCUAUGUGGAUUGUUGGUGUUUCCAGAUCGUCUCCUUUACUUCUCCUGUCCUGCAGUUGUCUACAUUCCUUGGUACAGGAAAUUGUCCCACCUCCUCAAACUGCAUGUCUGACUCAUCACCAGUGCUGCUAUUGGGUUACGGUGCAAACCCAUGACAGCGACGCUUCAGCGACAGCUUCCCUCGCUUUGAGUGGGCGUGUUGUAGCGUGUGGAAAUAUCAUUUUCAAACCGUCAGAGACGACACCAAACAAUCUGAUUGGCCGCUGCCGGGAAAAAUCGCUCCUCAUUUGCAUAGGAUUCAACUUUUUCCAACUUUUAUUGGUCGCGUCGCCCAAAACGGUGGUGUACGUCACAAUGGAUUGGCUCCCGUUGAAAUGCAUGGGAUUUAGAAUAUCACGUCGCUCGUAACGGUGUCAUGGGUUUGCACCGUUAGAGUUGUUUCAUUGCCACUGGUGUGCAGAUUACAUAUGAGUGUUCCUCUGGCCUCUUACAGUAUUUGCACCCAGAGGCAUCAUUCACAGGAAAAGAAAUCUCAACAAGUGAGUUAUAGUCAUGGACAAUCAAUUCCCCUCGUGUCCUGCCUCCUCCCCGCUCCUGUACGCAUCAUAGGGUCUUUGGGAUAGCUUUAAUCUUACAUGCUAUAUAAAUAAAGUUUUAUUACUAUUAUUAAUAUUAUGUAUGGUGACCUACUGCUAUACCCUCAGUAUCAGAACACAUUGACACGUUUUUAAGACACAAUAUCUAAGUCUGCACUCGUAACCUAUGUUCAACCGUGCACUGCACCAUUCAGCAACAUAGUAUGGCUAUUUUGAUGAUCUGUAUCUGAAAUGGCUGUAUGGCCACCUCUGUGCGUCUAUUGCAAUAGUGUUCUAUAUAAUAGCUCUAAUCCGAUUUACCCUACAGAGAUUAUAGUCCUAGCAUGUGAUGGUGGGAUAGUGACUCAUUGAAGAACCCUUUCACUCUGGUGAUGCUGUCAUCUCAUCAGGCCUCAAAGGGUUUUCAUGGGAUUUCCGCCUCGGCCUGUAAAUAACUAAUUUAAGGCACGUCACAAUGCAUGAGCAUGCCAUCGUGUGCCAAUCUAACCUCUCCAUUCCAGAUAGCAGACACCUCCUGGCUGUUCCAGCUAUUACCUGACUAAAACGCUAACGCUGUUUCCUUUAAUAUGUAGCAUACAUUGUUUGAUAUCAUGCCUCACAUAUGUGUUUGAAUCAUAGAGAGAAAAUAAUGCUAUGGAGAUACUGACACUGGAGAGAUGCUGCUUUGUGCUCAAUUGGAUAGAACCCUAUCAUGAACAUGUUUAAAGUAAUAUAGGAAGGAAGAAUAUCGUAAUGUAAGUUUCCUUGACAUCUAAGAGGUAGGCCUCAUAUUGGGGAUAGGAUUACUACAAUGGUGUUGUGUGCAUUAUACCGAAACCAGAGUAUUUUGGGUAUUGAAUUUAAAAAUCUAGAUUUAUAGUGAAUUUAAGAAUCUAAAUGUACAGAUGAAACAAUCCAGUAGGGUUACAGUUGAGCUUGUCAUAGAAAUGUGAAGGGUCCAAAAACUUUAAAACAUCUUUGUGCUGGUGUGCAUUUUUUUCUCCAGAGAUGGCUUUCUUUUUAUGAAUGAUGCAAAUCUGCACUAACUUCGUACUCAACGUUGUUUAACAUGUAUGAAAAUUGUUCAUCAUUAAACAGAGAAUCAAAGCACUUCUAUUUUUGUACAUUAAUCACUUCAGAAUAUAAGGUGUAUGUAUAGCUUGAUGGCAAAUAUCGUUUUAAACCUUCGUGGCAUUUGAUGGUGCAGUGGGUAAAGGAAUCAGAUUUACAAUAACAUUUCACUUUACAUUUCCGUUAACAUCGCAACAAACCUUCUGCGAGGACAAUACUCUAUUAUGAGACAAGCAUGGAUACCACGAAGUGAAAAAGGUU
ensembl:lncRNA